rnacentral:rRNA from 1 species
AUUGAACGCUGGCGGAAUGCUUUACACAUGCAAGUCGAGCGGCAGCGCGGUCUUCGGACUGGCGGCGAGCGGCGAACGGGUGAGUAAUACAUCGGAACAUGCCCAGUCGUGGGGGAUAACACUUCGAAAGAAGUGCUAAUACCGCAAACGUCCUGAGGGAGAAAGCGGGGGAUCGUAAGACCUCGCGCGAUUGGAGUGGCCGAUGUCAGAUUAGCUAGUUGGUGGGGUAAAGGCCUACCAAGGCAACGAUCUGUAGCUGGUCUGAGAGGAUGAUCAGCCACGCUGGGACUGAGACACGGCCCAGACUCCUACGGGAGGCAGCAGUGGGGAAUUUUGGACAAUGGGGGCAACCCUGAUCCAGCCAUUCCGCGUGAGUGAAGAAGGCCUUCGGGUUGUAAAGCUCUUUCGGCAGGAACGAAACGGCGAGCUCUAACAUAGCUCGCUAAUGACGGUACCUGAAGAAGAAGCACCGGCUAACUACGUGCCAGCCGCCGCCGUAAAAC